rnacentral:rRNA from 1 species
UACGAAGGGGGCGAGCGUUGUUCGGAAUUAUUGGGCGUAAAGCGCUCGUAGGCGGGACAGGAAGUUCGUGUUGAAAGACCUCGGCUCAACUGAGGGACCGGCUCGAAUACUCUUGUUCUUGAGGCAAUCAGAGGGUGAUGGAAUUCCCGGUGUAGCGGUGAAAUGCGUAGAUAUCGAGAGGAACACCAGAGGUGAAGACGGGUUGCUGGGCCGACACUGACGCUGACAGCGCGAAAGCCAGGGGAGCAAACGGG